rnacentral:ncRNA from 1 species
UCGACGAAAGGGCAAACUUUUCGAAAGGGAAGGACGCAAAGCUACAGGGGCUAAGUCUUUAAAAAGAUAUGCCAGCCAGUGCCGAA